CCAAAAGCUGGCGACCGGCGCACGAGUGAGUAACACGUAUCCAACCUGCCUCAUACUCGGGGAUAGCCUUUCGAAAGAAAGAUUAAUAUCCGAUAGCAUAUAUUUCCCGCAUGGGUUUUAUAUUAAAGAAAUUCGGUAUGAGAUGGGGAUGCGUUCCAUUAGUUUGUUGGGGGGGUAACGGCCCACCAAGACUACGAUGGAUAGGGGUUCUGAGAGGAAGGUCCCCCACAUUGGAACUGAGACACGGUCCGA
rnacentral:rRNA from 1 species